AUCUUUCUCAUCAGGAGAAUCUCCACUGGUCUCAUCUGUGUCUCCUAUAACAGGCUCUUCUCUGAUCAUCAGUGUGUCUGUGCUUCUGCUUCUGAUCUUCACUGUGAUUCUGAUAGUGAUCAUCACUCUCUGGAGGAGACGGCAGUUGCACAACGCUCAUUCCUCAUUCAAAAGAUCUCAAAGGACACCAGCAAACAUUGACGCGGCUUCUCAUUAUCAUUGUGAUUACGAGGAGACUGAAUACAAUCACAGACAAUUACCCACAAACCCCUCUGAUUCUACUAAUGCAAUCUAUGCUAAUCCAGAAUUACCCACAAACCCCUCUGAUUCUACUAAUACCAUCUAUGCUACUCCACAAUUACCCAUAAACCCUUCUGAUUCUACUAAUACAAUCUAUGCUAAUCCAGAAUUUCCAUAAACCCCUCUGAUUCUUCCAACAGCGUUCACACUUUAACAUCGCAGAAGUCCACGUCUUUCAGUCAUUAUCAUCCACUGAGGGUCUGAAUGACACAGACGGUCUUAAUGAUGUUCCUUCAACAAUUAUCUGUCUUUACAUUAAUGUCUGUCAUUGCAUGCAGCUGUGUGACUACAGUAAAUAUAUGUUAGCGAUCUGCUGUUUUUAAUUUAUUUGCUCAGUAAACACAACCAUUGCACCUGCUGAAGGGAUUUAUGUAAUUUUCUCAAUAUGUUUAAAACAUGGCAUGUAUUUGUGAACAAAAUAAAAGAUGACUGUUCUUUAUGACA
ensembl:lncRNA